UACGGGGGGGGCAAGCGUUGUUCGGAAUUACUGGGCGUAAAGGGUUCGUAGGUGGCUCGCUAAGUCAGACGUGAAAUCCCUCAGCUUAACUGGGGAACUGCGUCUGAGACUGGCAGGCUCGAGUGCAGGAGAGGAACGCGGAAUUCCAGGUGUAGCGGUGAAAUGCGUAGAUAUCUGGAGGAACACCGGUGGCGAAGGCGGCGUUCUGGACUGCAACUGACACUGAGUGAACGAAAGCCAGGGGAGCAAACGGG
rnacentral:rRNA from 1 species